GACGAACGCUGGCGGCGUGCCUAACACAUGCAAGUCGAGCGAGGGCCAUCUAGUAGCACUACUGGGGAAGGCCGAGCGGCGAACGGGCGAGUAACACGUGAGAAACCUGCCCCGAAGUCGGGGAUAAUCCUGGGAAACCGGGUCUAAUACCGGAUAGCCCCUUCGGAUCGCAUGGUCUGGAGAGGAAAGAAUUUCGCUUCUGGAGGGUCUCGCGGCCUAUCAGUUUGGUGGUGGGGUAACGGCCCACCAAGACAUCGACGGGUAGCUGGUCUGAGAGGACGAUCAGCCACACUGGGACUGAGACACGGCCCAGACUCCUACGGGAGGCAGCAGUGGGGAAUCUUGCGCAAUGGGCGAAAGCCUGACGCAGCAACGCCGCGUGCGGGAUGAAGGCCUUCGGGUUGUAAACCGCUUUCAGGAGGGACGAAACCAGACGGUACCUCCAGAAGAAGCCCCGGCCAACUACGUGCCAGCCGCCGCCGUAACAC
rnacentral:rRNA from 1 species